rnacentral:tRNA from 1 species
GGGAGUGUAGCUCAGUUGGCAGAGCAACGGCUUUUUAAGCCGUAGGUCCAAGGUUCGAGUCCUUGCACUCUCA